rnacentral:rRNA from 1 species
UGGGGAAUAUUGCACAAUGGGCGAAAGCCUGAUGCAACAACGCCGCGUGAGUGAUGAAGGUCUUCGGAUUGUAAAGCUCUGUCUUUUGGGACGAUAAUGACGGUACCAAAGGAGGAAGCCACGGCUAACUACGUGCCAGCAGCCGCGGUAAUACGUAGGUGGCGAGCGUUGUCCGGAUUUACUGGGCGUAAAGGGUGCGUAGGCGGAUGUUUAAGUGAGAUGUGAAAUACCCGGGCUUAACUUGGGUGCUGCAUUUCAAACUGGAUAUCUAGAGUGCAGGAGAGGAGAAUGGAAUUCCUAGUGUAGCGGUGAAAUGCGUAGAGAUUAGGAAGAACACCAGUGGCGAAGGCGAUUCUCUGGACUGUAACUGACGCUGAGGCACGAAAGCGUGGGUAGCAAACAGGAUUAGAUACCCUGGUAGUCCACGCCGUAAACGAUGAGUACUAGGUGUAGGAGGUAUCGACCCCUUCUGUGCCGCAGUAAACACAUUAAGUACUCCGCCUGGGAAGUACGAUCGCAAGAUUAAAACUCUAAAGUGAA